UACGGAGGGUGCGAGCGUUGUCCGGAAUCAUUGGGCGUAAAGGGCGCGUAGGUGGCCCGGUCAGUCUUUGGUGAAAGCGCGGGGCUCAACCCUGCGUCGGCCAGGGAUACUGCCGCGGCUGGAGCACUGUAGAGGCAGGCGGAAUUCCGGGUGUAGCGGUGGAAUGCGUAGAGAUCCGGAAGAACACCGGAGGCGAAGGCGGCUUGCUGGGCGUAGUCUGACGCUGAGGCGCGAAAGCGUGGGGAGCGAACAGG
rnacentral:rRNA from 1 species